rnacentral:rRNA from 1 species
UACGUAGGGUGCAAGCGUUGUCCGGAAUUAUUGGGCGUAAAGAGCUCGUAGGCGGUCUGUUGCGUCGGCUGUGAAAACCCGGGGCUCAACUCCGGGCCUGCAGCCGAUACGGGCAGACUAGAGUUCGGCAGGGGAGACUGGAAUUCCUGGUGUAGCGGUGAAAUGCGCAGAUAUCAGGAGGAACACCGGUGGCGAAGGCGGGUCUCUGGGCCGAUACUGACGCUGAGGAGCAAAAGCGUGGGGAGCGAACAGG